rnacentral:rRNA from 1 species
CCAAUAGCGUAUAUUAAAGUUGUUGCAGUUAAAAAGCUCGUAGUUGAAUUUCGGGAUCAAUACGUCGGUCGUGCCUCGGUACGUACUAACGAUAUUGAUUUCUCCCUUCUGACGAACCGUGAUGUCAUUAAUUUGGUGUUACGGGAAGUUAGGACUGUUACUUUGAAAAAAUUAGAGUGUUUAAAGCAGGCAAUCGCUCGAAUACGUUAGCAUGGAAUAAUGAAAUAGGACGUUCGAACCUAUUUUGUUGGCUUCUAGGAUCGACGUAAUGAUUAAUAGGGAUAGUUGGGGGCAUUAGUAUUCAAUUGUCAGAGGUGAAAUUCUUGGAUUUAUUGAAGACUAACUACUGCGAAAGCAUUUGCCAAGGAUGUUUUCAUUAAUCAAGAACGAAAGUUAGGGGAUCGAAGACGAUCAGAUACCGUCGUAGUCUUAACCAUAAACUAUGCCGACUAGGGAUCGGAUGAUGUUAAUUUUUUUAAUGACUCAUUCGGCGCCUUACG